ACUUCUUGGGGAUCGAAGAUGCAGUCGUCGUCACAUUUUGGAGUAAUUGAUACCCUGCUGCACUUGUUUUUGCCGACCAUCAUUAAUUAGUCUCAUGUUUGUUAUUUUUGUUUUUAUUCUUUUGAAAAGUUUUAUAAUUUAACGAUUUAAUUUUAUGCGUGCCUUUUUUACUUCCAUUGUAUAUGUGUGUGUGUAUAUAUACACACACACACAUAUGCAUUUAUAUGCAUAUAUAUAUGUA